UACGGGGGGAGCAAGCGUUGUUCGGAUUUACUGGGCGUAAAGGGCGCGUAGGCGGCCACUGCAAGUCAGUUGUGAAAUCUCCGGGCUUAACCCGGAAAGGUCAACUGAUACUGCAGGGCUAGAGUGCAGAAGGGGCAACUGGAAUUCUCGGUGUAGCGGUGAAAUGCGUAGAUAUCGAGAGGAACACCUGAGGUGAAGACGGGUUGCUGGGCUGACACUGACGCUGAGGCGCGAAAGCCAGGGGAGCAAACGGG
rnacentral:rRNA from 1 species